rnacentral:rRNA from 1 species
AACACCGAAGUUAAGCAUCAUAGAGCCAGGUCAGUACUUAGAUGGGGGACCGCUUGGGAACACCUGGUACUGUAAG